GGCCGCUACCUGGCGACAGGAUGCCAAUCCCCAAAACCUCUCUCAGUUCGGAUCGAAGUCUGCAACCGACUUCGUGAAGCUGGAUUCGCUAGUAAUCGCGCAUCAGCCAUGGCGCGGUGAAUACGUUCCCGGGCCUUGUACACACCGCCCGUCAAGCCAUGAAAGCCGGGGGUACCUGAAGUACGUAACCGCAAGGAUCGUCCUAGGGUAAAACUGGUAAUUGGGGCUAAGUCGUAACAAGGUAAC
rnacentral:rRNA from 1 species